AUGCCAUUCCAGAUAGGCGAGCCGCAUCUCUCUGGGCAACCAAGAGGUUUCCGGCAGCAGCCACAGGCCAAACGAAUGGACUUGGUAACUUUUCCAUGGGGGCAGGCACCAGUGCCCGGCAGGGCAGAGCUGGCUGAAGUUCUAGGCGAGCCUCUGAGUGCAGCACAGCUGCUGCGGAUGAUAGAGCACUGUUACAGCACGGCCAGUGUCCUGCUGCUUCAGCCGCCUCUGCAGCUCUACUGGACCUGGCUGCUCCAGUGGAUCCCACUCUGGAUGGCCCCCAACUCCAUCACCCGCCUUGGCUCGUCAUCAACAUGCUCACCACGCUGGUGCUCACCUCCUACUGCCCCACGGCCACCUAGGAGGCACCAUACUGGAGAUACCUACUAUGCGCCCUGGGACUCUUUAUCUACCAGUCACUGGAUGCUACUGACAGGAAACAAGCCAGAAGAACAAAUUCAUGUUCUCCUUUAGGGGAACUCUUUGACCAUGGUUGUGACUCUCUUUCUACAGUGUUUAUGGCAGUGGGAGCUUCAGUUGCUGCUGGCUUAGGAACUCACCCUGACUGGUUGUUUUUCUGCUCUUUUAUCUGGAGGUUCAUGUUCUAUUGUGCUCACUGGCCGAUUAACGUUUCAGGCAUGUUGAGAUUUGGAAAAUUGGAUGUAACUGAAAUUCAAAUAGCUUUAGUGAUUGUCCUUGUGUUGUCUGCAUUUGGAGGAGCAACAGUGUGGGACUAUACAAUACCCAUUCUAGAAAUAAAACUAAAGAUCUUCCCAGUUCUCGGAGUAAUAAGUAGAACAAUAUUUUCCUGUAUGAAUUAUUUCCGCGUUAUCCUCCAUGGUGGCGUUAGCAAGAGUGGAUCCCCUAUAGCAGGCACCAGUGUCUUGUCACCUGGACUCCACAUAGGACUAAUUAUUAUACUGGCAAUAAUGAUCUACAAAAAGUCUGCAACUAACGUGUUUGAAAAGCAUCCUUGUCUUUAUACCCUAACGUUUGGGUCUGUCUUUGCUAAAGUCUCACAAAAAUUGAUGAUAGCUCACAUGACCAAGAGUGAACUGUAUCUUCAAGACACUAUAUUUUGGGGGCCAGGUCUGUUGUUUUUAGACCAGUACUUUAAUAAUUUUAUAGAUUAAUAUGCUGUUCUAUGGAUAGCACUGGUAAUUUCUUCACUUGAUAUGAUGAUAUACUUUAGUGCUUUGUGCCUGCAAAUCUCAAGACACCUUCAUCUAAAUAUCUUCAGGACAUCAUAACAUAAAGCACCCAAACAGGAUCACAAUCAUAUUGACUGA